rnacentral:lncRNA from 1 species
UGUGGGGUGGGAGUCAGUUGAGGUAAAAGGUCCAAUACCCGAACUCGAGUGCACUCUAGGAUAGGAGAAUGGCAUAGUCUUGUUGACUGGUGUGGAGUAUUCCUUAGCCAGUUGACUUGCGAGACCAUUCACUUGGUGGAGGUCAUGUUGAACUAAUAAUGUCACACAAGUUAUUUGUGGUUAGGCAUUAUUCUUUCAAUCAUGUGCCGCAGAAGCCAAGGACCUUAGUUUACCAAACCC